rnacentral:rRNA from 1 species
AACGAACGCUGGCGGCAGGCUUAACACAUGCAAGUCGAACGAGACCUUCGUGUCUAGCGGCGGACGUGUGAGUACCGCGUGGUAACGUACCCUUCUCUACCGAAUCCCCCCGGGUAACUGGGAGUCAUACCGUAUACGCCCUUUGCGGGAAAGAUUUCUCGGUGCAGGAUCGGCCCGCGUUAGAUUCGGUAGUUGGUAGGGUAAUGGCCCAUCAUCCCGACGUUCCAUAGCUGGUUUGAGAGCAGGAUCAUCCACGCUGGGACUGAGACACGGCCGAGACUCCUACGGGAGGCAGCAGUGGGUAAUAUUAGACGAGGGGGGCAACCGUGAUCUAGCCAUGCCGGGUGAGUGAUGAAGGCCUUAGGGUUGUAAAGCUCUCUCAGCUGGGAAGAUAAUGACGGUACCAGCAGAAGAAGCCCCGGCUAACUCCGUG